rnacentral:misc_RNA from 1 species
GUUCAAUAAAAAGCAGCAGGGUAGCGAAGACCCUGGAUGCAUUUGGCUUGAAGUUAAUAAUAUAGUUCACAAGUUCAGUCUGGUGAUAGGGUUCGCCCAGAAUUAGCUUCCAUACAUCAGAAAUUGAACGACUUGGAGAAGAAAAUGAAAUUAGCAGGAUAUGUGCCUGAUCUUGAAUAUGCAUUCCAUGAUCUGGGAGGAGCAGAAAGAGCAACUUUUGCUCUGGCACAGCGAGAAUCUGGC